GGGGCUGUGGCUCAGUGGUAGAGCACUCACCUAGCAUGUGUGAGGCACUGGGAUCUAUCCUCAGCACCA
rnacentral:tRNA from 1 species